rnacentral:rRNA from 1 species
UACGUAGGGUGCAAGCGUUAAUCGGAAUUACUGGGCGUAAAGCGCGCGUAGGCGGCUUUGCAAGUCGGGUGUGAAAUCCCCGAGGCUCAACCUGGGAACUGCAUUCGAGACUGCAUUGCUAGAGUAUGGGAGAGGGAAGUGGAAUUUCAGGUGUAGCGGUGAAAUGCGUAGAUAUCUGAAGGAACAUCAGUGGCGAAAGCGACUUCCUGGACCAAUACUGACGCUCAUGUGCGAAAGCGUGGGGAGCAAACAGG